CGUGUAGGCGGUCAGGUAAGUGGAAUGUGAAAUGCCCCGGCUCGACCCGGGACCGGCAUCCCAAACUGCCUGGCUUGAGUAUGGGAGAGGAUGGAGGAAUUCCUGGUGUAGCGGUGAAAUGCGUAGAUAUCAGGAGGAACACCGGUGGCGAAGGCGUCCAUCUGGCCCAAUACUGACGCUGAGGCGCGAAAGCUAGGGGAGCAAACG
rnacentral:rRNA from 1 species